rnacentral:rRNA from 1 species
UACGUAGGGCGCAAGCGUUGUUCGGAAUUACUGGGCGUAAAGGGCUCGUAGGCGGCCAACUAAGUCAUACGUGAAAUCCCUCGGCUUAACCGGGGAACUGCGUCUGAUACUGGAUGGCUUGAGUCCGGGAGAGGAGAGUGGAAUUCCUGGUGUAGCGGUGAAAUGCGCAGAUAUCAGGAAGAACACCCGUGGCGAAGGCGGCUCUCUGGGACGGUACUGACGCUGAGACGCGAAAGCGUGGGGAGCGAACAGG